CUCCAGCUGUCCCAGUGAGCUUCUACCAGAGGGAUGAUGUUUGGGGUGAACAUCCAUCUAACUUUCAAGAGAACACAACCUCUGACCAGAGACCCAGUACCCACCAAGGACAUACCAACAGAACACAUAGUGCUUGUAGUAUGAGACAGGCAUGUCGGUGGAGUUCUGUCUCUGAACAAUGUACAUCUGUUGAGAGGGCAAUAUUGGUGGCAAUAGGUGAACUGGAAUUCAAAAUCAAUCACCUGACUUCAGUAGUCCAGUCCCUUGCAGGAAAUAGACAGCUC